GCCUGUGUGGCUCAGUUGGUUGAGCUUCUGACUUCGGCUCAGGUCAUGAUCUCGCGGUCUGUGAGUUCGAGCCCCGCGUCGGGCU
rnacentral:tRNA from 1 species